UGAAGAUAGCAGCAGCGUUUUCGUUUUAGAAUUCCUACGCUUUACCGUUGCCAAGUUAUUGGGCAAAGCGUUUGGAUUCUAAAACGAAAUAGCUUGCCUUUCUACA
rnacentral:pre_miRNA from 1 species